rnacentral:misc_RNA from 1 species
AAACUGCGAUAAGUAGUGUGAAUUGCAUUUAGUGAAUCAUCGAAUCUUUGAACGCACCCUGCACUCACUGGUAUUCCGGUGAGUACGCCUGUUUCAGUAUCAUUGAAAACACACAAUCAAAACAAUUUCUUUGGUUUGAUUGGCUUUGGGUCUAUCAAAAAGUUUGGCUUGUUUCUUACAAGCCAAGCGGCCUGAAAUAUAUUGUCUGGCUAAUUGCAUCGUUGAUGAUCGCUAUUAGACUUUGGCUUUUUUAAAUGAACUGGAGGUUGAUUAACCAGUUUUAGCUUUAGUCAAAUGGUCAUUGUAAAAAAAAUCUCGAUCUUGGCUAGGUGUUUAUAGCCGAAAAUUUUUUUUUGGCUAUAACCGAAACCAAUAUAAUCACAUUUAGUUAUCGAGCUGAAAUCAGGUGGGACUACCCGCUGAACUUAAGC